ensembl:misc_RNA 7SK 7SK RNA
GGAUGUGAGGGUGGACUGGCUGUGGCCCUGUCACCCCAUGGAUCUCAGGGUGAGCCAGGCUGAUCUGGCUGGCGUGGAGGUGUCCCCUUCCUCCAUGGUGCUUUUCCUGUGUCCCUCCUCAAGUUGUGCUCAGGGGAAGAACUGACUCUCCCCAACACAGCGGGUCAUUCUCUGUUAAAGGUACAUGAAUAUACCAUGCAUUCUGCAAAAAGAACCUACAGACCUGUGCUGGUGGCUCACAUCUGAAAUCCAAGCUCCUCAAGAGGCUGAGAGCUGAGGAUU